UACGAAGGCCCCAAGCGUUAUCCGGAUUUAUUGGGCGUAAAGCGUUCAAAGGCGGUUUUGUGUGUCACUUGUUAAAUCUUACGGCUCAACCGUGAGACAGCCUGUGAAACUGCAAGACUUGAGGACGGGAGAGGUAUGCGGAAUUACCGGUGUAGUAGUAAAAUGCGUUAAUAUCGGUAGGAACACCAAUGGCGAAAGCAGCAUACUAGAACGUCUCUGACGCUAAAGAACGAAAGCGUGGGUAGCGAAUGGG
rnacentral:misc_RNA from 1 species